rnacentral:rRNA from 1 species
AUUGAACGCUGGCGGCAGGCCUAACACAUGCAAGUCGAACGGUAACAGGAAGCAGCUUGCUGCUUCGCUGACGAGUGGCGGACGGGUGAGUAAUGUCUGGGAAGCUGCCUGAUGGAGGGGGAUAACUACUGGAAACGGUAGCUAAUACCGCAUAAUGUCGCAAGACCAAAGAGGGGGACCUUCGGGCCUCUUGCCAUCGGAUGUGCCCAGAUGGGAUUAGCUUGUUGGUGGGGUAACGGCUCACCAAGGCGACGAUCCCUAGCUGGUCUGAGAGGAUGACCAGCCACACUGGAACUGAGACACGGUCCAGACUCCUACGGGGGCAGCAGUGGGGAAUAUUGCACAAAGGGCGCAAGCCUGAUGCAGCCAUGCCGCGUGUAUGAAGAAGGCCUUCGGGUUGUAAAGUACUUUCAGCGGGGAGGAAGGGAGUAAAGUUAAUACCUUUGCUCAUUGACGUUACCCGCAGAAGAAGCACCGGCUAACUCCGUG